rnacentral:rRNA from 1 species
CCUACGGGUGGCUGCAGUGAGGAAUAUUGGUCAAUGGCCGAGAGGCUGAACCAGCCAAGUCGCGUGAGGGAAGACGGCCCUACGGGUUGUAAACCUCUUUUGUCGGGGAGCAAAGCGAACCACGUGUGGUUCAUUGAGAGUACCCGACGAACAAGCAUCGGCUAACUCCGUGCCUGCAGCCGCGGUAAUACGGAGGAUGCGAGCGUUAUCCGGAUUUAUUGGGUUAAAGGGGGGCGCAGGCGGUGGUGCAAGUCAGCGGUCAAAUUGCGGGGCUCAACCCCGUACUGCCGUUGAAACUGCAUCCCUUGAGUGCGCGAGAAGUAUGCGGAAUGCGUGGUGUAGCGGUGAAAUGCAUAGAUAUCACGCAGAACUCCGAUUGCGAAGGCAGCAUACCGGAGCGCAACUGACGCUCAUGCACGAAAGCGUGGGUAUCGAACAGGAUUAGAUACCCUUGUAGUC